GACGAACGCUGGCGGCGUGCUUAACACAUGCAAGUCGAACGGAAAGGCCCUGCUUUUGUGGGGUGCUCGAGUGGCGAACGGGUGAGUAACACGUGAGUAACCUGCCCUUGACUUUGGGAUAACUUCAGGAAACUGGGGCUAAUACCGGAUAGGAGCUCCUGCUGCAUGGUGGGGGUUGGAAAGUUUCGGCGGCUGGGGAUGGACUCGCGGCUUAUCAGCUUGUUGGUGGGGUAGUGGCUUACCAAGGCUUUGACGGGUAGCCGGCCUGAGAGGGUGACCGGCCACAUUGGGACUGAGAUACGGCCCAGACUCCUACGGGAGGCAGCAGUGGGGAAUAUUGCACAAUGGGCGGAAGCCUGAUGCAGCAACGCCGCGUGCGGGAUGAUGGCCUUCGGGUUGUAAACCGCUUUCGCCUGUGACGAAGCGUGAGUGACGGUAAUGGGUAAAGAAGCACCGGCUAACUACGUG
rnacentral:rRNA from 1 species